rnacentral:lncRNA from 1 species
AAGGGUGAUAUUUGGCUAGGAGGUAAAAUGAGAAAUAGCCUGGCAAAGGUAAACCGAUUGAAAGACAAAGAGGAUAUUCGGCCAAGAGAGCACAGAUUGAGGAAGGGAAAAAGAAAGAAAAAGGAAUGGAGAAUCAAAAGCUGAUAAAUGAAAGAAAGGAAGGCGAAUUCGGCAGAGGAAGGAACCAAAAUACUAUUCAGCCAAAACAGAAAAAAAAAGAUUAAAAGGGAAGGCAGAAAAGCAAUCGAACAAACCCAAGAGAUACUCGAAAACUUAGCAAAAAUUUGGCACCAAAAAGAAAAAAGAGGAAACAUUACCCAAAACCGAAAUAAGAAGUAUACUAAAAUGACCAGUAUCCCCUCUGGCCAAAUUUCCUGAGUAUCAAAGUCUACUUUCGACACACAUCUCCUCUCCCCCCACUUCCCUUGAUUUUCUCCUAAAAUCUCUCCCCUUGUCCCUCCUUGAAUUAUUCCACCGAUUUCUCCUCAACUCCCCAACAACUCCAAUCAAAUUCUAUUCACACUCCCCUUAGCUGUGUUUCAAUCCAACUCCACUACCUACACAGCUCAAGCAGCAAAAUAUAUACUCCAUUACGCAACCCAGGACUUGAACCUCAGACCUUACAGUUACACAAC